UACGUAGGGGGCAAGCGUUGUCCGGAUUUAUUGGGCGUAAAGAGCGUGUAGGCGGCUUGGUAGGUCCGCUGUGAAAACUCGAGGCUCAACCUCGAGAUGUCGGCGGAAACCACUUGGCUAGAGUCCGGAAGAGGAGAGUGGAAUUCCUGGUGUAGCGGUGAAAUGCGCAGAUAUCAGGAGGAACACCGGUGGCGAAGGCGGAUCUCUGGGCCGAUACUGACGCUGAGGAGCGAAAGCGUGGGGAGCGAACAGG
rnacentral:rRNA from 1 species